rnacentral:lncRNA from 10 species
AAGCAAGUCUCUGCCUCAGCCUCCCAAGUAGCUGAGAUUAUAGGCGCCCACAACCACACCAGGCUAAUUUUUUGUAUUUUUAGUAGAGACGGGGUUUCACCAUCUUGUCCAGGCUGGUCUUGAUCCUGACCUCAUGAUCCACCCACCUCGGCCUUCCAAAGUGUUGGGAUUACAGGCGUGAACCACCACUCCAGGCCCUUGAGUUUUUCUAUAAGUACAACUGACAGUCCUGGGUACUAUAUAUGAAACAAACAUCAAGACUUGAAGGACAGAGAACAGCAGACUGACCAGGAACCUCAGGACCACAGGGAUGACUGCGUG